UACAGAGGAGCCAAGCGUUGUCCGGAUUGACUGGGCGUAAAGCGCACGCAGGCGGUCUGGCGCGUGGGGGGGGAAAUCUGGCCGCUUAACGGCCAGGCGCCAUCCCAUACGGCCGGACUGGAGCCUUGCAGAGGUCGGUGGAAUUGCCGGUGUAGUGGUGAAAUGCGUAGAGAUCGGCAGGAACACCCAGGGGGAAACCAGCCGACUGGGCAAGUGCUGACGCUGAGGUGCGAGAGCGUGGGGAGCGAACCGG
rnacentral:rRNA from 1 species